CGCACAUUGCGCCCAUUAGCAUUCUAGUGGGCAUGCCUGUUCGAGCGUCAUUUCACCACUUAAGCCCUGUUGCUUAGCGUUGGGGGCCUACGGCAUCGCCUGUAGCCCCUUAAAGUGAUUGGCGGAGUUAGUAUUAUCUCUAAGCGUAGUAAUUUCUUCUCGCUUCUGCAGUAGUGCUGGCCCCCGCCGUAAAACCCUAUUAUACAAUGGUUGACCUCGGAUCAGGUAGGAAUACCCGCUGAACUUAA
rnacentral:misc_RNA from 1 species